GUCGAGAUGGCUCAGUGGUUAAGAGCGUCGACUGCUCUUCUGAAGGUCCCGAGUUCAAAUCCCAGCAACCACA
rnacentral:tRNA from 1 species